rnacentral:rRNA from 1 species
AACGAACGCUGGCGGCAGGCCUAACACAUGCAAGUCGAGCGAAGCCUUCGGGCUUAGCGGCGGACGGGUGAGUAACGCGUGGGAACGUGCCCUUUGGUACGGAAUAGCCCCGGGAAACUGGGAGUAAUACCGUAUGUGCCCUUCGGGGGAAAGAUUUAUCGCCAAAGGAUCGGCCCGCGUUGGAUUAGGUAGUUGGUGGGGUAAUGGCCUACCAAGCCGACGAGCCAUAGCUGGUUUGAGAGGAUGAUCAGCCACCCUGGGACUGAGACACGGCCCAGACUCCUACGGGAGGCAGCAGUGGGGAAUCUUAGACAAUGGGGGAAACCCUGAUCUAGCCAUGCCGCGUGAUCGAUGAAGGCCUUAGGGUUGUAAAGAUCUUUCAGUGGGGAAGAUAAUGACUGUACCCACAGAAGAAGCCCCGGCUAACUCCGUGCCAGCCGCCGCCGUAACAC